rnacentral:rRNA from 1 species
CCUACGGGAGGCAGCAGUGGGGAAUUUUGGACAAUGGGCGCAAGCCUGAUCCAGCAAUGCCGCGUGCAGGAUGAAGGCCUUCGGGUUGUAAACUGCUUUUGUACGGAACGAAACGGUGAGCUCUAAUACAGUUUGCUAAUGACGGUACCGUAAGAAUAAGCACCGGCUAACUACGUGCCAGCAGCCGCGGUAAUACGUAGGGUGCGAGCGUUAAUCGGAAUUACUGGGCGUAAAGCGUGCGCAGGCGGUGAUGUAAGACAGAUGUGAAAUGCCCGGGCUCAACCUGGGACCUGCAUUUGUGACUGCAUCGCUAGAGUACGGUAGAGGGGGAUGGAAUUCCGCGUGUAGCAGUGAAAUGCGUAGAUAUGCGGAGGAACACCGAUGGCGAAGGCAAUCCCCUGGACCUGUACUGACGCUCAUGCACGAAAGCGUGGGGAGCAAACAGGAUUAGAUACCCUGGUAGUCCACGCCCUAAACGAUGUCAACUGGUUGUUGGGUCUUCACUGACUCAGUAACGAAGCUAACGCGUGAAGUUGACCGCCUGGGGAGUACGGCCGCAAGGUUGAAACUUAAAUGAAUUGAGGCUGGAGAGNGCGAGGACGACGACGAGGGGAGGAGG